rnacentral:rRNA from 1 species
UACGAAGGGUGCAAGCGUUGUUCGGAAUUAUUGGGCGUAAAGGGUGCGUAGGCGGUUUGGUAAGUCUUAUGUGAAAUCUACAGGCUCAACUUGUAGUCUGCAUGAGAAACUGCCGGGCUUGAGUAUGGGAGAGGUGAGUGGAAUUCCUGGUGUAGCGGUGAAAUGCGUAGAUAUCAGGAGGAACACCUGUGGCGAAAGCGGCUCACUGGACCAUAACUGACGCUGACGCACGAAAGCUAGGGGAGCAAACAGG